GUUCACUUUAGCAGCACGUAUACUAAAUUAGAAUGAUACAGAGAAAAUUAGCAUGGCCUCUGCCCAAGGAAGCAUGCAAAUUUCUGAAGUGUUCCAAAAUUUA